rfam:Gossypium hirsutum cultivar TM-1 chromosome 24, whole genome shotgun sequence
AACCUAUGGUGAGGGCAACUUCUUAAUAAGUCCUUGUAUCUCUCCCAUGCAUCAUACAGAGUUUCUAGAUCCACCUACACAAAAGAAGAGAUAUCAUUCCUCAAUUU